rnacentral:lncRNA from 1 species
CUACUUGAGGGAACCCUAUUGAAGCCCAACAUGGUGACUCCUGGAUCUGAUUCUAAGAAGGUUGCACCUGAGGUGAUUGCCGAGUACACGGUUCGUGCCCUUCAACGUACAAUGCCUCCCGCCGUUCCUGCAGUGGUGUUUUUGUCUGGUGGGCAGAGUGAAGAGGAGGCUACAGUGAACCUCAAUGCCAUGAACAAGCUCCAGACAAAGAAACCAUGGAGUCUGUCUUUCUCAUUUGGGAGGGCUCUUCAGCAGAGCACCCUCAAGGCUUGGGCUGGGAAGCCAGAAAAUGUGAAUAAGGCUCAGGAUGCAUUCCUUACAAGGUGCAAGGCCAACUCAGAGGCAACUCUAGGGAAGUAU